rnacentral:rRNA from 1 species
UGGGGAAUCUUGCGCAAUGGACGAAAGUCUGACGCAGCGACGCCGCGUGAGCGAUGAAGGCCUUCGGGUUGUAAAGCUCUGUGGAGGGAGACGAAUAAGGCGGAACUAACAUUUCCGUUGAUGACGGUAUCCCUUUAGCAAGCACCGGCUAACUCUGUGCCAGCAGCCGCGGUAAGACAGAGGGUGCAAACGUUGUUCGGAAUCACUGGGCGUAAAGCGUGCGUAGGCGGUCUCGUAAGUCGGAUGUGAAAGCCCCGGGCUCAACCUGGGAAGUGCACUCGAUACUGUGAGACUUGAGUACUGGAGAGGUUGGUGGAAUUCUCGGUGUAGAGGUGAAAUUCGUAGAUAUCGGGAAGAACAUCGGUGGCGAAGGCGGCCAACUGGACAGAUACUGACGCUG